rnacentral:sRNA from 1 species
UCGCGUAACAUUUCUUGAGCUGCGAGGU